AACCUUAUGGACCUGCGGGCGUAUACCUGCGGAAGGAUCAUUACACAUAUAAAAUAUACCUGGGAAAAUUCGAAAGAAAAGUACUCAGGCGUAUUCUUAUACCCAUGUCUUUUGCGUACUACUUGUUUCCUUGGUAGGCUUGCCUGCCAUUAGGACACCCACAAAAACCUUUUGUAAUUGCAAUCAGCGUCAGAAAAUAACUUAAUAGUUACAACUUUCAGCAACGGAUCUCAGAUCGGA
rnacentral:misc_RNA from 1 species